rnacentral:rRNA from 1 species
AUACGUAGGUGGCAAGCGUUAUCCGGAAUUAUUGGGCGUAAAGAGGGAGCAGGCGGCAGCAAGGGUCUGUGGUGAAAGCCUGAAGCUUAACUUCAGUAAGCCAUAGAAACCAGGCAGCUAGAGUGCAGGAGAGGAUCGUGGAAUUCCAUGUGUAGCGGUGAAAUGCGUAGAUAUAUGGAGGAACACCAGUGGCGAAGGCGACGAUCUGGCCUGCAACUGACGCUCAGUCCCGAAAGCGUGGGGAGCAAAUAGGAUUAGAUACCCUAGUAGUCCACGCCGUAAACGAUGAGUACUAAGUGUUGGAUGUCAAAGUUCAGUGCUGCAGUUAACGCAAUAAGUACUCCGCCUGAGUAGUACGUUCGCAAGAAUGAAACUCAAAUGAAUUGGCGGGG